UGGAAUACACUCCCACCGCCUUCAUCUGCUCAGUUACAUUAAUAAAUGAGAUUUCAAAAGACGAAGCAUCUGCAGUUAAAGUACAAAAAAAGAAAAAUCCAACUAAAGCCAUCUCCCUGACGACGCAUGUUUUACAGCUCGCAGAGAGGCUGCUGAAUUAAGGAGUGAUGCAAACACGCUCAUUUCUUUUCCCACUUCUGAAUAAAAGUUUAAGGAAGACUAAUCUUUAAAAAAACAACAACAUCAAUUUCUGAAAUUAAAUCAGUGCCCUUCAAGCAUGGAGUGAAGU